AAGCCAUGAUGAGGACACUCUAAGAGAAGAUCCUUAAAACGUUCCAUACACCUAGAAAAUGAUUCAUUUGGUCUUUGAUGAAACUGGAAAAUGUCUUUCCUAAGUUU
rfam:Cephalotus follicularis DNA, scaffold: scaffold517, isolate: St1.